UACGUAGGGCGCAAGCGUUAUCCGGAAUUAUUGGGCGUAAAGAGCUCGUAGGCGGUUUGUCGCGUCUGCCGUGAAAAGUCCCGGGGGCUCAACUCCGGAUCUGCGGUGGGUACGGGCAGACUAGAGUGAUGUAGGGGAGAGUGGAAUUCCUGGUGUAGCGGUGAAAUGCGCAGAUAUCAGGAAGAACACCAAUGGCGAAAGCAGCUCUCUGGGACGGUACUGACGCUGAGGAGCGAAAGCGUGGGAGCAAACAGG
rnacentral:rRNA from 1 species